GGUGGCUCAGUGGUAGAGUGCUUGCCUUGCAUGCAUGAGGCCCUGGGUUCGAUUCCUCAGUACCA
rfam:Dipodomys ordii contig_42358, whole genome shotgun sequence.